rnacentral:rRNA from 1 species
UGAGUAACACGUAUCCAACCUGCCGUCUACUCUUGGACAGCCUUCUGAAAGGAAGAUUAAUACAAGAUGGCAUCAUGAGUCCGCAUGUUCACAUGAUUAAAGGUAUUCCGGUAGACGAUGGGGAUGCGUUCCAUUAGAUAGUAGGCGGGGUAACGGCCCACCUAGUCUUCGAUGGAUAGGGGUUCUGAGAGGAAGGUCCCCCACACUGGAACUGAGACACGGCCCAGACUCCUACGGGAGGCAGCAUG